rnacentral:tRNA from 1 species
GCGGACAUAGCUCAGUGGUAGAGCAUAACCUUGCCAAGGUUGAUGUCGCGCGUUCGAAUCGCGUUGUCCGCU